CAGCUAACCGAAAUUUGUUUGGGCUGUUCGGUCAGCUCGAGAUGGAGACCGAUGCGACCGAAGCGACCGAAUUUUCUUCGCAGAGAAAGGAAUUAGUCCCGCGUCCAGCCCAUUGAGGCCCAGUUUUGGAGUCUUACCUAUUCGUGUCUUCUCACUUCUUUCCUCCCUGACCUAGCCCACAGGCAGAGGAGAGACGACAUGCCCUUGCGCCGCGUCGCGCCGCCGCCACAGCUCAAGCCCGAUCGCCGGCAGCUGCAAGCUCUGCGCCACACCACCUGGACGCCAGCCCACCAUCCUCACGGACUCACAGUCAUGGUCCAGUUUGUAGAUCCCUGCCACCACAGCCACGAUGACAAGAAUCCCAGUAUGAGCUGAACCAAUAUUGUACAUGAGGAUGUGCUGAACCAAUUUUUUAUAUACUUGUACUGUCAUUUUGUACUGCAAAUGUAAAAGGAAUGACAAGUGAAUUACUUGUUUAGUUUUUGUACCGCAAAUCAUAAAUUGAAGUGCUUGUAAUGAUCA